AAAAGCACCCAGAAACACCACUCGGCUAAAGAAGAUAUUCCCCUGUGCGGAAUCAAUUUUAUCAGAGAAUAGGAAAAUAGGGGAAAAGAGCCUAUCUGUAUCACUAAAAAAAUAACGUUUGCACAAGACGUUUUCUUUUGACAAUGGGUUUUGCUCCUAUCCGACUCGUUCUCUCAUAAGCCUCACCCCCAUAUACCUUAUCUUCCUUAGUGAUCUUUCUAU
rnacentral:lncRNA from 1 species